CCUACGGGAGGCAGCAGUAGGGAAUUUUCGUCAAUGGGGGGAACCCUGAACGAGCAAUGCCGCGUGAGUGAGGAAGGUCUUCGGAUCGUAAAGCUCUGUUGUAAGAGAAAAACGGCACUCAUAGGGAAUGAUGAGUGAGUGAUGGUAUCUUACCAGAAAGUCACGGCUAACUACGUGCCAGCAGCCGCGGUAAUACGUAGGUGGCGAGCGUUAUCCGGAAUGAUUGGGCGUAAAGGGUGCGUAGGUGGCAGAUCAAGUCUGGAGUAAAAGGUAUGGGCUCAACCCGUACUUGCUCUGGAAACUGAUCAGCUAGAGAACAGAAGAGGACGGCGGAACUCCAUGUGUAGCGGUGAAAUGCGUAGAUAUAUGGAAGAACACCAGUGGCGAAGGCGGCCGUCUGGUCUGGAUUCUGACACUGAAGCACGAAAGCGUGGGGAGCAAAUAGGAUUAGAUACCCCUGUAGUC
rnacentral:rRNA from 1 species